CCUACGGGUGGCAGCAGUGGGGGAUAUUGCACAAUGGGGGGAACCCUGAUGCAGCGACGCCGCGUGGGUGAAGAAGCGCCUCGGCGCGUAAAGCCCUGUCAGCAGGGAAGAAAAUGACGGUACCUGAAGAAGAAGCCCCGGCUAACUACGUGCCAGCAGCCGCGGUAAUACGUAGGGGGCAAGCGUUAGCCGGAUUUACUGGGUGUAAAGGGGGCGCAGGCGGCGGUGCAAGCCAGGGGUGAAAGCCCGGGGCCCAACCCGGGGACUGCUCUUGAAACUGCGUGACUGGAGUGCAGGAGGGGGAGGCGGAAUUCGUGGUGUAGCGGUGAAAUGCGUAGAUAUCGGGAGGAACACCGGUGGCGAAGGCGGCCUGCUGGACUGUAACUGACGCUGAGGCACGAAGGCGUGGGGAGCAAACAGGAUUAGAUACCCGAGUAGUC
rnacentral:rRNA from 1 species